GAUCAUGGCUCAGGAUGAACGCUAGCGACAGGCUUAACACAUGCAAGUCGAGGGGCAGCACAGGUAGCAAUACCGGGUGGUCGACCGGCGCACGGGUGAGUAACGCGUAUGCAACUUGCCUAUCAGAGGGGGAGUAACCCGGCGAAAGUCGGACUAAUACCGCAUGAAGCAGGGGUCCCGCAUGGGGAUAUUUGCUAAAGAUUCAUACGCUGAUAGAUAGGCAUGCGUU
rnacentral:rRNA from 1 species